rnacentral:rRNA from 1 species
GACGAACGCUGGCGGCGUGCUUAACACAUGCAAGUCGAACGGAAAGGCCCUGCUUGUGGGGGGUGCUCGAGGGGCGAACGGGUGAGAAACACGUGAGUAACCUGCCCUUGACUUUGGGAUAACUUCAGGAAACUGGGGCUAAUACCGGAUAGGAGCUCCUGCUGCGGGGGGGGGGUUGGAAAGUUGCGGCGGUGGGGGAUGGACUCGCGGCUUAUCAGCUUGUUGGUGGGGUGGUGGCUUACCAAGGCUUUGACGGGUAGCCGGCCUGAGAGGGUGACCGGCCACAUUGGGACUGAGAUACGGCCCAGACUCCUACGGGAGGCAGCAGUGGGGAAUAUUGCACAAUGGGCGGAAGCCUGAUGCAGCAACGCCGCGUGCGGGAUGACGGCCUUCGGGUUGUAAACCGCUUUCGGCUGUGACGAAGCGUGAGUGACGGUACUGAGUAAAGAAGCACCGGCUAACUACGUG